CCGCGGGGGGCGCCCAGGCACAGGAAGGAGAGGCGGUGCUCGGCACGCGAGGAGAACUUGGCCAGGUCCGGCCGGUAGAAGUCGUACACGGUGCCCACCAGCGGGAUUUCGUGAAAGCAGC
rnacentral:SRP_RNA from 11 species